rnacentral:rRNA from 1 species
GCCCGGGAGAGUUCUCUUUUCUUCUGAAUGGAGCGUGUUUCCACCGAGUUCGCGUCAAGCGGUGACCUGGAAGCAGCUCCAGCAGAGUCCAGCAUCUGCGCUGGACAGGGAAACCUGCGUCCGUCUACGAAAAAGCCAGUGGCGUCGUAUUUCCCGAUGUCGCGCCGUACCCAUAUCCGCAUCUGGUCCCCAAGCUUUGAAAGCUCUAGCCAGUAGAACAA